UCUGCCUGGGAGCACAAAGACUUCGCAUCCCGGUCAAAUUAUGCAGUCCACUAACUUUUACAUUUCCAGGUGUGGUAACCACCAUUUCCCCAAUUUCAGACACAAUAACUGUCGGGGGUACGUCCAUCCUCUGGCCGGGCCUGGCCGGGAUGUCCCGGCGGGCGGAGCUGGGACGGCGCCGCCUGAGUCUCGGCCUCCGCUCCGCCGGGGGGCGCGGGGCGACCGAGGAGACACCGGGAGCAGCCCGGGGAUACGGAUAGAAAUCACAGUAUAACAUAAAUCUAGAGCCGCAUAGCGCCACCAGUCCUCCGGACGCUGCCCUGCAGCUCCGUGUGGCUGCGGAGACUCUGGCUCUGCCCUGGCCGCGCUUCUCCCGCCUCGGAUCCGGCCCGGGACGCGGGCUCCUUCCCUCAGAGAAUCCGCUAGGCUGACUGGACGCCGCAGGAGCCGCCUCUUCCCGCGGGCUCCUGCCCCCUCGGGCCCGGCAGCGCGGACCCCCUCAGGGCUGAGCUCCCUCCCGGGACGGAGGCGGCUCUGCUCCGCGCCCGUCCCGCGUCCCGCCCGCUGCCGCGCCGGGCUCGGUGCCCGAGGGGAGGGCGGCUGCAGGUGACCGGCACCGCCGCUGCCAAGGGCGAGGGAAAAGGCGGCCGGCGCUGCAGGGGUUUCCUCGCCGUCUCCAGAAGCCUCGGCGAGGCCAUUCCCAAACGUCUCGCCUUCUCCCCACGGGACAGUUUUUUGAGUUCACAUCAAUCAAGACAUCACUUUCUUUCAAAUUUUUCCAGAACCAGGAAGAAAGAGAAGAGAAAGGACUGCACAGUGACACCUGGCCAUCUCCACUAACAGUGAGUUCCACUUGAGGACCAAGCUUGCAAUUUAGAUAUUCAGAGGCAAAGAAGCUAGUUGGUGGGUGAAGAACUGUGAUCCCUUGAACUGACAGAAAAGGGUAUUCCUGUCUGAUGUGAAGCAGACAAGAAAGUAGCAACUGAAGAGAGUCUUCCUAGUUUCAUCUUUGACAGAAAAUAAAGUACAAUUCUGAACUUUAGAAAUACCAGGUUUGUGACAUGUAUUGCUCUGGGUGGACAAAAACAUGACAAAAUGAUCUGACAGCAAAUGAUUUUGGAGUGUAAAAGUAGCACUUGGCCAUGCAGAUGAUGGGGCCAUGAUGUAUGUUGUCAUCUAAUUUGUCUUUGUUCCAAGCAGUACAUCACUACCACUGGAUCCAGCAGGCCUUCCAAAACAGUGGCAGCUACAAGCACAAUUUCUCAGGGUUCUUCCAGUGAGCUUAGCUGUCUCAGAUUUUAAGGAGAUCUUUGUUGGUCAAUACAAUUUAUUUUGCUUUCCCAAAUGUUAAAACAGCAAUGUAGUAUGUUCUGCUGAUACAAUUAAUUUCAAAUAGUUUAUUAUAUAAAGAAAAAUACAGUGCAAUAGCAUUCCUAAGGAUGGAAGGAACUUUGAUUUUUUACUUACAAAAUUAUAAAUUUUAUCAACUUUAUAAUUACAGGUCCAAAGAGUGUGUAAAUAUUCAAAACUCAAAAAUCUUACCAUUCAAAAUUAGUGCUCCCAUCCUAUUCCCAUCCAAAUUUUAACUGAAAAAAAGUAUGCUCUCUCAAAGAAAGCAGUUUUAAAAAGAGUAUUCUUUUUUCAUGAUUUUUAGAAAUCACAACAUUUCUCUUUGAUUUUUUUUAUUUUGAUUGCAUUUUGCAAGAUCUGGUCAACAUCUUUUGUCACUCCACUGAAUUCCUUCCUCUCUCGAAGAAAAUAUGAAUAUUUCCUUUUCUUCAAAAAAGGAAAUUGUAUGCCAUUGUAAUCUAAACUUGGUUUGAAUCCUCACCUAGCAUGAGAGAGUUAUUUCUGCCUCAGCUGUAUUUCUGUCUUCAAGGCAUGCUGUAGUCAUGUCCUCUCAUUCCUGCUGUAAGAAAUGUGAGGGUUGAGGACAUGCUUCUGCACUCCUGGCGGCUUUGGCUGCUACUCAUAUACUAUGGAGCAUUUCUUCAAAACCUGUUUUGGCACCUUCCCCUUUUAACAGCGACUUUCACCCAGUUAAAACCCCAUCCAAGGAGGAGCCACAUGGGUUCUGUCAGCCCAUCAAACAACAGAAUUAGCCCAAACAGUUCCCAGCCUGAACAUCUCUUAUCCAUGGUGGCCAAAUCCAGUGUUUCUUUCCUGGAGAGGUGUCUGCAUAGCAACACUAGAUGGAGACUUAACACAUAAGUACUUGGGUUUAUUUAAUUAUAAAAAAUAUUUAAUAAGAGGGUUAAUUAUGGUGAACUCUUCUACUUGUGGGAAGUACUUAGAUCCAUAUGUAUUGUACAACAUG